rnacentral:misc_RNA from 1 species
CCCCUUGCGUCGUUUCACCUCGGCGAUUAUACGCACCCUGGUGAUCAGCGCACUAUCCGAGUCUGCUCACUAGCGUGGCGGAACAGCUUGAAAUCGCCGGACGGUGUCAACAUACUGUCACACACGCAAACACACACCGAGGAAUAUAUCACGCUGGCUUGGUUCUGCUGGUUUGUCGUUUGCUGAAUUUGCUGUGCACCAUUCCUCUGCAGACGUUCUCGCUCGGGCGUGUUAUCGAUUCCGCCGACUUCACGCCACCACAAUCACCACGUUGGCUUUCUCUCUCGUUUUCUCGCGUGAGGCGAGCGCGUGAGCAGAGGAGCACGAAACACAGCGACGCGCCAUCUCCAACUGCGUGGCCCUGCAUCCUUCCAUUGCACCUGCGUAGGGAAACAAACGGUUCCACUCAAGGCCACUUGACCUUGCAAUGCCCUCUAGCGUGUCUUCUCCGCGGCCUCCGCCUGCGGAGGCCGUGUCGGCCCCACGCGGCACUAUCCGCUUUGAGGAUCUCGGUGAACCGGUGCAGCGUCUCCUGCGAUCCCUGAAGGGCGAUGUUAGCGAGGAGGACAUGGCACUGCUCGAGUACGUGUCCGUGAAGGACAUGGCAAAGAUCUACAGCGAAAUGGCGACGGAUCGCCACGCAGAAGAGAUUUGGCAGGAGCUCCGGAGUGCACUGCAGGCCCGAAAGGAGAAGAUCGCGCGUCGAGAGGCUGAGCUAGCGGAAAAGCAGCGCGCACUCGAGGCGGAGCAGGAAGCUGAGGAGCGGCGGCUGCGACAGCAACUGGAGGAGGAAGAGCGCGAGCGCAUCGCCGCCGAGGAAGCGCGGCAGCAACGGCGAGAGGAGCGCCGACGGCGCAAAGCGGAGAGGGCGGCAGCAGCGGCGGCUGCAGAGGAAGAGGCAGCCGAGCAGGCGGCAGCUGCCGCCGAGGAAGCGGCGGAGGAGGCUUCCGCGGCCGCCGAGGAGGCGGAGCGGCAGCGAAAGGCAGAAAAGAAGCGCAAGCGCCGCGAGGCUCGCGCACGCGAGCUUCAGGAGGAGCACGACGCCCUCACCGCCGAGCGGGCUCGCCACGAGGCGAAAAAGCAGCAGAAGUCUUUGAACCAGCAGAAGGACUGGAGUGAGUUUGUGCAGAGCCAUCCUCUCGAGUACGCGCCGCCGGAGACUUUGGACGGCGCACAGCAGCAGCUACCCGCCGUGAUUGAGCAGAAAGAGCUGAAGCACACACUCAACGCCCCUCCCGUGGUUUCGGAGAAGCUGCUCAGUCGCACCUACACCCCAGCAUGCGGGGCUUGCGGUAGUCGCUUUGACCGUCCGCCGCCUGAGUGGAACUGCCCCAUGUGCAAGCGGCGCUACAAGAAGGUAGUGAAGGUCUGGCAGCCGGACGACGACAUGGAGAACUGCAUGAUGUGCAAGGAGCCGAUCGGGCGGUGGUCUAGGCACCACUGCCGGAACUGCGGUCGACUCGUCUGCGCCAACUGCUCCGAAAAGAGGGCCAUCAUCGAAGACUUGGGAUAUGACACACCGGUGCGCGUCUGCUACGACUGCUUCCGGCUGCGGUCGUAGCCGGGUGGCUUCAAGAGUGUAUGAGGAAAUGAAGCGAUUAGCACAACCGCAGUGCCCCUCACCUUUGCAGAAUGGGUUUACUUGUACACCACCGCUACUGUUUUGUGUUUGACGAGGCGACCGGCACCCAUUUGGCCCUCUCCAUCCACGCUGGCGUUUGUGAGUUCACCAUCUGCACACCUGCGCGACUAUUCCAGCUGUUCUUUUCGUUUCCCUUGCUCUCCCCCGCUUUUGGAGCACGGUGCUUUCCUUGGCGGCGACAAGCACCUCUUCUUGCUCGCGCGCGCUUCAGAGUUGCGACGCGAUCGUCUCUGCGGUCGUGUUGGAUGAUCAGUGGUACUUCGUGUGCUGGCAACUCUUCUUCUCGCGACUUUUUCCUUUGAACAUGACCUCGUGCGUUAGCGUGUGCACUGGUCUUUCUCUCUUCAUGGGCGAGCUGCGCUACAAGAAGAUGACACAGCGCACGAGCUUUAGUCGACACUGCGCGGGGCGAGUCCUCCUCUCAGCAAGUCUUUCUGUCCUUUUGUUGACUAAUGACCGCUUUGCCAGAGGAAAACAAGACAGCGCUAGACGCUCACAAGCGGCCGCGCCGUGCUCGUAGUGUGUCACUCCGAGGUAAAGCGCCCCCGCCCUCUUCCUCGCCCCCCCCCUCCCGCCCCCUCUUCCACACUCCUCGGUUGUUUGCUUUGCUGCCGAUUGGCCAAGCUCGCUUUUAUUCAUUCUUUUUUUGUUUGUUUCUCGUUGGCUGGUGAUCGUUUGAGUUUGCUUUGGUUUUUUUUAUUUUGGGUGACGACAUGCUUCCUCCUACCUUCUUUGGCUUGUCGUUUGACUUUUAGGUGAGGUCUUUGGGGUGUAUGCUCGUGGGUGUUGUGUGACCUUUUGUUUUCUGCUUCCCAUUGCGGUUGCCCCCUUGCUCGUGUUGUGUGUGAACCGCCUGUAAAUCUAUACCCUUCGAGCUCAUGCUCUUCUCAGCACGGCACCUCCCGCGUGAAGCCGACACUCAGCUGUUCG